rnacentral:rRNA from 1 species
UGGGGAAUAUUGGACAAUGGGGGGAACCCUGAUCCAGCCAUGCCGCGUGUGUGAAGAAGGCCUUAUGGUUGUAAAGCACUUUAAGCGAGGAGGAGGGUACUGGUAUUAAUACUACCAGGUACUGGACGUUACUCGCAGAAUAAGCACCGGCUAACUCUGUGCCAGCAGCCGCGGUAAUACAGAGGGUGCGAGCGUUAAUCGGAUUUACUGGGCGUAAAGCGUGCGUAGGCGGCUAAUUGAGUCGGAUGUGAAAUCCCCGAGCUUAACUUGGGAAUUGCAUUCGAUACUGGUUAGCUAGAGUGUGGGAGAGGAUGGUAGAAUUCCAGGUGUAGAGGUGAAAUGCGUAGAGAUCUGGAGGAAUACCGAUGGCGAAGGCAGCCAUCUGGCCUAACACUGACGCUGAGGUACGAAAGCAUGGGGAGCAAACAGG